rnacentral:tRNA from 1 species
GAGGGUAUACCUCAGUAGUAGAGUGCAUGCCUAGCAUGCAUGAGGUCCUGGGUUCAAUCCCCAGUACCUCCA